rnacentral:lncRNA from 1 species
CUGGAGUGAAAACUUUUUCAUCUAGAUAACACCCAUGAGACUGAAGUAGAAGUAAUUCUUCAUGGACAUCAUGAAAGGAAGCUGCUAUAGACAUAAAAGGAGAAAUAAUAAUUUCCAUCUAUUUCAUGCCUAACAUACGCUACAAUUUGGAGCCAUUUCACCUAAUCUUCACAAACAGUCCUUCAAGCCCUAGAUCCCUCCUUAACUGAAAUCUCACUCCACAAGGCUCCCCAGCCACGCGUGAAUCCCAUAGAGGAAAACACUGAUUGCAAACUCC